CCUUCCUCUUUACACUUAUUCAACAACAUUCCCCUGUGCCUCAUGCUGAGUAAUUCUGCAGCCUCAGGGAGCACCCCACUAGUCUGGCAGAGGGGGAAACAGAGGCAUAUGCAGACACUUCCAGACUCAUGGGGUCAGGGUUGGGGCAGAGGGAAGGAUCAAGUGCUGGGAGAGCCUAGAGCCGAGAACAAUGAAGAGCCAAAGGCUAUCAUCCUGGGGGUGCACUGAAGAUGGAAAAUCUGCAGUGGGUUUUGAAAUAGCAAAUCAGAAAGAGAGGGGAGAAAAUCAGAAGCAGGGGUCAGACCUACUACCAGUUUCCUCGGGGGCCUCUGAAGACACAGCCAUUCCUCCAGCCAAGGAUCAGGGUGCUCAGAUGAGCAGCAGGGCGGCCGCCAGGUCUGGGGCAUCCCUCACCCACCAAGGCCUUCACGAAGAAAGAGAUGGCAUUGCCUCACAUGGCCCAGCCCCUCACCGUCCAAGAGGCAGGAGCUGGACCUGUUGCCUGUUGUCGAUGGAGGUG